AGAGUUUGAUCAUGGCUCAGAAUGAACGCUGGCGGCGUGCUUAACACAUGCAAGUCGCACGAGAACGCUUCAGCUUGCUGAAGCUAGUAAAGUGGCGUACGGGUGAGUAACGCGUGGGUAAUCUAUCUCUGAAUUGGGGAUAACAUUGCGAAAGCGAUGCUAAUACCGGAUAACAUCCAUUAGACCUCGGUUUUUUGGAUCAAAGGUGGCCUCUACAUGUAAGCUACUGUUUGGAGACGAGCCCGCGUACCAUUAGCUUGUUGGUAGGGUAACGGCUUACCAAGGCAACGAUGGUUAGCUGGUCUGAGAGGAUGAUCAGCCACACUGGAACUGACACACGGUCCAGACUCCUACGGGAGGCAGCAGUGAGGAAUUUUGCGCAAUGGGGGAAACCCUGACGCAGCAACGCCGCGUGAGUGAUGAAGGCUUUCGGGUCGUAAAGCUCUGUCAAGUGGGAAGAACCCGCGCCGCACAAAUAGUGCGGUGCGCUGACGGUACCACUGAAGGAAGCACCGGCUAACUCGUGCCAGCAGCCGCGGUAAUACGGGGGGUGCAAGCGUUAUUCGGAAUCAUUGGGCGUAAAGAGCGCGUAGGCGGUCUUCUAUGUCAGGUGUGAAAGCCCGGGGCUCAACCCCGGAAGUGCACUUGAAACUGGGAGACUUGAGUAUGGGAGAGGGAAGUGGAAUUCCUGGUGUAGCGGUGAAAUGCGUAGAUAUCAGGAGGAACACCGGUGGCGAAGGCGACUUCCUGGACCAAUACUGCGCUGAGGCGCGAAGGCGUGGGGAGCAAACAGGAUUAGAUACCCUAGUAGUCC
rnacentral:rRNA from 1 species